rnacentral:rRNA from 1 species
CCUACGGGUGGCAGCAGUGAGGAAUAUUGGUCAAUGGGCGCUAGCCUGAACCAGCCAAGUAGCGUGAAGGAUGACUGCCCUACGGGUUGUAAACUUCUUUUAUAUAGGAAUAAAGUGCAGCACGUAUACCUUUUUGUAUGUACUUUAUGAAUAAGGAUCGGCUAACUCCGUGCCAGCAGCCGCGGUAAUACGGAGGAUCCGAGCGUUAUCCGGAUUUAUUGGGUUUAAAGGGAGCGUAGGUGGGUUGUUAAGUCAGUUGUGAAAGUUUGCGGCUCAACCGUAAAAUUGCAAUUGAUACUGGCAGUCUUGAGUACAGUUGAGGUAGGCGGAAUUCGUGGUGUAGCGGUGAAAUGCUUAGAUAUCACGAAGAACUCCGAUUGCGAAGGCAGCCUACUAAACUGUAACUGACAUUGAUGCUCGAAAGUGUGGGUAUCAAACAGGAUUAGAUACCCGGGUAGUC